AUUAUACUGGAUUAUCUGACUAUUCUAAUGUACUCUAGGUAAAUGUAUAACAUCAUUAUUCUGGCAUCCUGAUGGCAAAGUAGUUGUCUUGGGACUAGAAGAUGAAUGGAAAACUGUUAAGAAGCUUAAGUCCCAUGCGGCAGCUGGGGUGUGUCUCAAUUGGGAGGAGGAUGCCCAAGUGAAUAGAGACACUUCUGGCAACGCUUUGGCAUUUGAAGAUUGCACUACUCGUUUCUUCCCUCCAGCUCCAAGAGCUCCUUGCAUGCCUGGACUAGUACCUGGAGAAACUGGUUUAACUGACAAUGGUCAAGAUUCAUUCGUAGUGCUCUCAAAUUCUUCAAGGCAAUGUUUCAAUAUCCUUUGCAGUGGAGAUGAA